CUGAACUCUUGUCCCACAUCGAAAAUGUAGUGGUUUUAAGCAGCUUUGGAGUACUAUAUAUUAAGGUAGCUGAUGAAGGAAGAAAUUCACGCAGCCACGCAGUGGGCACAAAGCGAACUAUUCUUUCGCCUUUUACUAAAGAAUACCGUGUGCACGUUGCAAAUAGUGGCAUACGCCAAUUUUUGGAGGGAGAUCGAAGAGCAC